GCUUCUCUAGGAUGCAGUGUUCCUGCAGAUACUCAGAGCUCCGGAGAGGGGGAGGGGGGCCUUGUGGAGUGUCAGGGCCACUAGAGCAACAGUGGGUGUUUGAACAGGAGAGUGGCACCCUCAGAUGGGAGCAGCCCGAGAUCAUCUGGGCAUGGGGAUGCAGAGGGACCAGGAUGAAGACAGAAACAGGCCCAGCUCCAGGGAGGGAGUUCCUACGUUGCUGCUGACUCUCUGAUUGCCCGUACUGUUCCCUCCUUCCCUUGCCCCCCAGUUCCCUCGGUCCCCCAGUGAAGCUCUUUAUCCUUUGCUGUGCCUGCUGGGUCCCUACUCCUCUUCCCACGUGUCCCCUCCCUCCCCUCCCCUCCAAACCUCUCCACAGCCUGUGGGGCCUGGAUGCUGGCUGCCAGCCAAGCCCCAGACAACCUUGACCGCCUCCUGCAGCCACCUCCCCUCCUCCUCUCCCUUCCUGCUCUCCUCGCCCUCCUCCCCCUUUCUCCCUCUCCCAUCUCUAGCUUUAUUUCUCUCCUGCCUCCGGCUUCUUCUCUUCCUCCUUCUACUAAAGCAAAUCCUCCUCCCAGCCCCCCCUCCAGGGCUGCAGGGCCUGCUGGGUGGCACUGUGGCCUCUCCCUGCUGCUAAUGUCCCGCAACAGAGGAAGAGGUGGCAGGUGACCUGUAUUUGGCCUUUAGAUACAGAUAUUGGUGACCCCAAUCCUGGGUCAUGCUAAGAGCUAACUCACUUUGCUGUUGGGCCCCAGGCAGGUCCCUGGCCUUUUCUGGGCCACUCUGACUACCCUGCAAACCAAGGUGAAACCAAAGGAGAAAGGACAGACAAGGGCCAGCAAGUGCAAUGGAGGUGACUCCUGCCCAGCAAGGGCCAGGCCCCAGGUUCAUCCCCAGACCCAGACAAGGAAACCCCUCCCCCAAAUUUUACAAACCCUCAGAUCCAGGUUCGGGAGGAGGCCUGGACCAGGGCCUGCUUGGUUCCAGGGUUCACAAGCCCCCUUUGUCUAUCUAGCUGCUCACUUACUGCCUACAUCUUCAGCCAACCCUGGUACUUCCUUCCCACAUGCCAAGCUGCAGCCCACCCUCCUUCUACUUCUAGUCAUCGUAAGAAGCUGAAUCAGGGGCACACAAGCAAGUAGUCCACGUUAAGCUCGACAUGACAACGGUCCUCCUGCCUCAGCUUCUCAAGUGCUGGAAUACCAGGAAUCCGCUACCACGGGUACCCAGCCUUCAUUGGCCAGUGCUUUUGGUGACGUCAGAGACCCAUGUGGGAUCUUCGGGAGCUGAUUGGCUGGCAUACC